rnacentral:tRNA from 1 species
AAAGGUGUAUCUCAGGGUAGAGUGCAUGCUUAGCACGCACAAGGUCCUGGGUUCAAUCCCCAGUACCUUCC